UAACAAGUUUGGAAAAGAAUUCCAUUGUAAUGCUUAUUCCCCCAAACUAACGGAAUAACUUUUCUAAUUUUGAGUCAGUGGAAUUAUAAUUCCAUUCCACUGCUUAUCAUCAUCUCUCUCCAUCUGGGUCUUCGUCUUCUUCUCCAACUCGCUCCUUUGUCACCGACUGAGUUCCUCAGCAAGCAACACACCCAGUCGAAGGUAGCUGCUCGUCCCAGUCGGAGGUCCGUGUCAGAGACACUCUUCUCUUCUUCCUCCUGCUUUUCUAAUCUGUUGCAGAG